UUGUCUCCUUUCAUUUCGUUAGUCUCCGGAAAUGCUUGCGUAUCUACCAAGUAAUUACUUAUAUUUGUUGAUUAUUAAAUUGAAUCAAGCAGGAUAUUUUGAAAACUAUUUACUUUUGAUGUUGUGUUCGACCCUUUCGAUAUAAGGAUUUUGUUUCUUCUUCAGAUAAAUAAAACCAUUCUUAUCUUAACUCAUAUUUACUAGAAUUCGUGAGUACUAAUCUAGUCGCAAAUGCUUUGGUGCAUAUCUCAUACUAGCUAGAGUCCCUUAGACCCAAUAUAAUUAACUUGUACAAUUCAUUUCUUGAUCUUACCGUAAGUUCAAAAGAAAAAAAAAA
rnacentral:lncRNA from 1 species